rnacentral:piRNA from 1 species
UGUAGCAUAAAUUAACAUCUCGGUAUC